UACGUAGGUGGCAAGCGUUGUCCGGAUUUACUGGGUGUAAAGGGCGUGCAGCCGGGAAUGCAAGUCAGAUGUGAAAUCCGCGGGCUUAACCCGCGAACUGCAUUUGAAACUGCGUUUCUUGAGUACCGGAGAGGUUAUCGGAAUUCCUUGUGUAGCGGUGAAAUGCGUAGAUAUAAGGAAGAACACCAGUGGCGAAGGCGGAUAACUGGACGGCAACUGACGGUGAGGCGCGAAAGCGUGGGGAGCAAACAGG
rnacentral:rRNA from 1 species